rnacentral:rRNA from 1 species
AACGAACGCUGGCGGCAUGCCUAAUACAUGCAAGUCGAACGAGAUCUUCGGAUCUAGUGGCGCACGGGUGCGUAACGCGUGGGAAUCUGCCCUUGGGUUCGGAAUAACUUCUGGAAACGGAAGCUAAUACCGGAUGAUGACGUAAGUCCAAAGAUUUAUCGCCCAAGGAUGAGCCCGCGUAGGAUUAGCUAGUUGGUGGGGUAAAGGCCCACCAAGGCGACGAUCCUUAGCUGGUCUGAGAGGAUGAUCAGCCACACUGGGACUGAGACACGGCCCAGACUCCUACGGGAGGCAGCAGUAGGGAAUAUUGGACAAUGGGCAAAAGCCUGAUCCAGCAAUGCCGCGUGAGUGAUGAAGGCCUUAGGGUUGUAAAGCUCUUUUACCCGGGAUGAUAAUGACAGUACCGGGAGAAUAAGCUCCGGCUAACUCCGUG